ACAUGUUCAAGGUCAAAGCAGAAGCAAUCAUGGUGUAGCCUUGUCAGAUCCCAAUAAAUCUGUGAAUUCUGCU
rnacentral:ribozyme from 1 species